ACCGUGGUAUUCUAGAGCUAAUCAUGCGAAAAACCCCGACUUCGGAAGGGGUGUAUUUAUUAGAUAAAAAACCAAUGCCCUUCGGGGCUCUCUGGUGAUUCAUAAUAACUAAACGAAUCGCAUGGCCUUGCGCCGGCGAUGGUUCAUUCAAAUUUCUGCCCUAUCAACUUUCGAUGGUUAAGUAGUGGUUAACCAUGGUUUCAACGGGUAACGGGGAAUUAGGGUUCGACUCCGGAGAGGGAGCCUGAGAAACGGCUACCACAUCCAAGGAAGGCAGCAGGCGCGCAAAUUACCCAAUCCCAAUUCGGGGAGGUAGUGACAAUAAAUACUGAUACAGGGCUCUUUUGGGUCUUGUAAUUGGAAUGAGUACAAUUUAAAUCCCUUAACGAGGAACAAUUGGAGGGCAAGUCUGGUGCCAGCAGCCGCGGUAAUUCCAGCUCCAAUAGCGUAUAUUAAAGUUGUUGCAGUUAAAAAGCUCGUAGUUGAACCUUGGGCCUGGCUGGCCGGUCCGCCUCACCGCGUGCACUGGUCCGGCCGGGCCUUUCCUUCUGGGGAUCCGCAUGCCCUUUACUGGGUGUGUCGGGGAACCAGGACUUUUACUUUGAAAAAAUUAGAGUGUUCAAAGCAGGCCUUUGCUCGGAUACAUUAGCAUGGAAUAAUAGAAUAGGACGGCUUUCCUAUUUUGUUGGUUUCUAGGGGAGCCGUAAUGAUUAAUAGGGAUAGUCGGGGGCAUCAGUAUUCAAUUGUCAGAGGUGAAAUUCUUGGAUUUAUUGAAGACUAACUACUGCGAAAGCAUUUGCCAGGGAUGUUUCAUUAAUCAGUGAACGAAAGUUUAGGGAUCGAAGACGAUCAGAUACCGUCGUAGU
rnacentral:rRNA from 2 species